GUAGGUGGCAAGCGUUGUCCGGAAUUAUUGGGCGUAAAGCGCGCGCAGGCGGUUCUUUAAGUCUGAUGUGAAAGCCCACGGCUCAACCGUGGAGGGUCAUUGGAAACUGGAGAACUUGAGUACAGAAGAGGAAAGCGGAAUUCCACGUGUAGCGGUGAAAUGCGUAGAGAUGUGGAGGAACACCAGUGGCGAAGGCGGCUUUCUGGUCUGUAACUGACGCUGAGGCGCGAAAGCGUGGGGAGCAAACAGGAUUGGAUACCCUGGUAGUCCACGCCGUAAACGAUGAGUGCUAAGUGUUAGGGGGGGUUUCCGCCCCCCUUAGUGCUGCAGCUAACGCAUUAAGCACUCCGCCUGGGAGUACGGCCGCAAGGCUG
rnacentral:rRNA from 1 species